GACCCGUGACCAGACCCAGGGACCAGGUGGUGACCCGUGACCAGCCCCAGGGACCAGGUGGUGACCCGUGACCAGCCCCAGGGACCAGGUGGUGACCCGUGACCAGCCCCAUGGACCAACUGAGGCCGGACCUAAUGAUCCCCAGAUAUUUAACCAACUUUUUCCACCUGUGAUUGUAAUAUUAAACAAUUAAACUCAAUACAAUACUUUUCCUCUCUUGGAGGAAAUAUAUGAUGUGUUGAGGUUAACACUUAGUAAAGUUAAUCUCAG